rnacentral:rRNA from 1 species
UCAGCCCUAAACACAAAUAAUUUCAAAAACAAAAUUAUUCGCCAGAGUACUACCGGCAACAGCCUAAAACUCAAAGGACNUGGCGGUGCUUUAUACCCUUCUAGAGGAGCCUGUUCUAUAAUCGAUAAACCCCGAUAGACCUCACCAAUUCUUGCUAAUGCAGUCUAUAUACCGCCAUCUUCAGCAAACCCUAAAAAGGAACAAAAGUAAGCGCAAUCACAACACAUAAAAACGUUAGGUCAAGGUGUAACCUAUGAAAUGGGAAGAAAUGGGCUACAUUUUCUAUUUCAAGAAAACCCACAUACGAAAGUUAUUAUGAAACUAAUAACCAAAGGAGGAUUUAGUAGUAAACUAAGAAUAGAGUGCUUAGUUGAAUUAGGCCAUGAAGCACGC